rnacentral:rRNA from 1 species
AUGUCAAUACGAAAGGGCUUUGCACUAUGUGUGUUCUUGUUGUACAUCAACGAGAAUAGCAAGUAUAGCAGCAAAAACAAUGGCAAAAAUAAGGAGCGACAUUCUUCUUAUUUCAAAGAAAGCCAUCGAGUUGAUUCAUGUGAGUUUUUGGAACUAAAGCAUCAUACAAUGAUAGGUAGCAGUAAGAUACUUGACCCAUGUGAAGCUGAAAGUGUUUUCUUAUAUCGAAUGUAUGAUAAUCUAAUUAUAUUCACAAGUAAUUUCGUUAUGACCAGAAAGAAUUACUACGAGGAUUAUGUUUUGAGGGAAAUCCUCUUGAUGAAUGAAACCAAUGGUGAAGAAAGUUGUAAUUUCAACCAAAGGACCAGGUUGCGCUGA